rnacentral:rRNA from 1 species
GAUGAACGCUGGCGGCGUGCCUAAUACAUGCAAGUCGAGCGAACAGACGAGGAGCUUGCUCCUCUGACGUUAGCGGCGGACGGGUGAGUAACACGUGGAUAACCUACCUAUAAGACUGGGAUAACUUCGGGAAACCGGAGCUAAUACCGGAUAAUAUAUUGAACCGCAUGGUUCAAUAGUGAAAGACGGUUUUGCUGUCACUUAUAGAUGGAUCCGCGCCGCAUUAGCUAGUUGGUAAGGUAACGGCUUACCAAGGCAACGAUGCGUAGCCGACCUGAGAGGGUGAUCGGCCACACUGGGACUGAGACACGGCCCAGACUCCUACGGGAGGCAGCAGUAGGGAAUUUUCGGCAAUGGGCGGAAGCCUGACCGAGCAACGCCGCGUGAGGGACGAAGGUCUUCGGAUCGUAAACCUUUGUCAUCGAGGACGAUAAUGACGGUACUCGAGGAGGAAGCCCCGGCUAACUACGUG